GGCAAGAUGGCCGAGCGGUCCAAGGCGCCACGUUAAGGUGUUCAAACCUUGAUUCAAUCCUCCGAGAUUCCGUGGUCCGAAAGGGCGUGGGUUCGAAUCCCACUCUUGUCA